CGGCGGACGGGUGAGUAACGCGUGGGAACAUACCCUUUGGUACGGAAUAGCCUCGGGAAACUGGGAGUAAUACCGUAUGUGUCCUUUGACUGUAGUGGUUGAGGGAGAAAGAUUUAUCGCCAAAGGAUUGGCCCGCGUUGGAUUAGGUAGUUGGUGGGGUAAUGGCCUACCAAGCCGACGAUCCAUAGCUGGUUUGAGAGGAUGAUCAGCCACACUGGGACUGAGACACGGCCCAG
rnacentral:rRNA from 1 species